AGAGCAAUGAGGAGACAAAGAAAAAGUGUGGUGCAGCUAAGGGGAUCUGGGAUCCAAACACAGAAGGAAUAAACAAAGCACCCAGAGAAACAGCUUUCAGAGAAAUACAACUGCUAAAGAAAACAGGAGAUACCUUGAUUACAUAAAUACAACAGCUACUUAAGAGAUUGAAUUGUGGCAUUAAAAAUGCUUUCUGGAACUACACAAAGAUCGUGUUUUGAAUUAAAAAAUAUAUAGUAGUUGAAUUGAAGAAUUGGAUGGUCGCUGUGAACAAGUGAAUAAGUAACUUGCAAGUUCAAGUGUAAGAAAUAUCUUAAAACACAGAGCAAAAAUACCCUGAAGAGAGAAAAAAGAGACUUAGGGGACUUCACAUGCAAAUAUCAGGAGGCCCAGAAGGAGGAUAAAAGCACAAAUGGGGAGAAACAAUAGUUGAACUAAACAUAGGAAACAAUUCCCUUGCGCUGAAGAAAGACUUCAGUGUGUAGAUUAAAGGGUUUACCAAGUUUGAGGUCAAAUUUAUGAGGGAAAAAAGACACCUGGGAGAAUCUCAGAAUUUCUAGGAUAAGAAGAAAACCUUACCUCCUUUCUGGCAGAAUACAUGUUACUUACAAAGGAAAAAGAACCAGAUUGCAGACCCUUUGUCAUCAACACCAGAAACUAGAAGACAGUGGGAUAAUAUCUAUAGAUUACUGAUAGGAGGGGACCCAGUCAAGAUGACAUUUACUGACAGGAUGAAAGGAAGAUGAGGGGACAUGCAAGGAUAUCACAUUUGAGAAAAAUUUUCUAGAAGGGCUCUGAAUGAAAUAGCAGGUCAAUCAGAGCAGAGACUUCCAAGAAAAAGGGAAAUGAAGAGAGGAAAUAAUGUCAAGGAAAUAACCAUGUGAUAUAGAAGGUUAACUGUAAAUGGGUUAUGGUUGAGUGACUGGGAACAUGAAAUAUAGGUACCAAAUAAGAACUGGGAAUAUGAAAUGUAGGUACCAAAUAAGAACUGGGAAUAUGAAAUGUAGGUACCAAAUAAGGACCUUGUAGAGGAGACUUCAGAUUUGUCUCUGGCCAAAAGCACUGAACUCUCUUUGUAAAACCUAUGAGUUGGGGAAGGGAGAAAUAAGCAAGUGAUUGAAUUCUAAAGGGCUCGUAUGAGCAAGGGAAGAUAGAGGAAGGAAAAGUAUUCUAACAGUCUCAUCUUGGGGCAGCCACAAUUCUAGAUGGUAUGUUUUUUAAAAAUUAUAUUUUCUGUUUGGUGAUAGGGUAUAGAAAUGCUUUUGGAUAUUAAAAUUAUUGAUAACUACCUUUCUAAACUUACUCUAAUAAUUUAUCUGUAGAUUCUUUUGGAUUUUCUAUGUAGGUAACCAUAUCAAUAAUAACAUGUAUUUCUUCUUUCCAAUAAUUUUGCCCUUGGUUUCUUUUUUUCUUGCUUUACUCUGCUCACCCUCUCCUCUCUCCUUCUUCUUCCCCUCCACCAGUAGAUUUCUCUUGAUUUUUUUGAGAGCCCAGCAAGGCUUUAAAAAACGUUUGAUAUCUGUUUAUAGUUUUAUUGUAAUUAGGCAACUCUUUAGAGUUUCUAAUUCAUCAUAUUUCCAGAAGCAGACUAGUCCUAUCCAUUUUUAAUUUAAAUAUAUUACUAGGUAUUUAUAUAUUUUUUAUUGUGUUCAGUAUCUUUUCCAGUAUAUUUUCUACUUUAUUAUCAAAGUAUGUAUAAAAACUAUACACCUUUAUCUUUUAUAAAUGUACUAGCAAACUGACUCUUACUAAUACUAAAAAGUUUUCAUCAGAUUCUCUUAGAUUUUUCAGAUUGAAUGUCUUAUCACAAAAAAUGAUAAUUAUGUCUCUGCUCUUUUGGUGUAUGUUAAAUUCCUUAUCCAUCCAUUUCUUACUAAAUGAGUGAAUACUUUUAGAACAAUGUUGAAUGGUAAUAAUAGCAGGGCAAUAAUGGAAUGCUUUUGUUUCAUCAUUAAAUAUAUGCAGUUUCUUCCCUGUUUGUUUGUUUACUUUAAUUCUUGCAUUCCUUCUGCUAUGUUAUGCUGCAUUGGUAUUAAAUGUGGUAGUAACGCACCAAGGGCUUGCUUGAUUUGCUGGAAAUGUUUCUAUCCGCUAAGUGGAUUUGGCAAGCUGGAAACUUUCAUAGUGAACUAGCAUAAAAUCUAUGUGUAAGCUCUCUUAACGCUUAUUAAAGUUGCACAUUACUUUUUCAUCAUAUCUCAAACUUGGAAUUAUUGGAGAAUUAAAAAGAAGAAAUAAAACGCAUUGUUCCUGC